AUUGUGUGCCAUCUGGACAUGGAGGAAAGUGAAAAGGUAGGAAGACUACAUGCCCAUUUCAAAAGACUAGACUACAACUUUUCAGUAACACGGGAAGUCAAUUAAGAAAUCAAUAUUUUACACUCUUCAGGUUUCUAUGAAUUAAGGAACUUUCUACAGUUCUUCCCUAAAACAAUAAAUGACAACAAAAACAAACAAACAAUUAAAACAUCAACCAAACAAAAGAAAAACAUCAUUUUAAGAAAAUAUGGACAGAUGGAAAGACUCAAGAUAAGGAACAUUUCAAAACUUAAGUCAUUCAGACCUUCCUGGAAAAGCCUCCAGAGCCUAUGCUACGUGCCUGCUGUCUCGGGGUAGUUUCUCUGAAAAGCAGACCUGAGAUGAGUCUGGUGUGUAGUAUGUUUAUUAAGAACCAGUUCUGUGAAGGGAAAGCAAAGGAACUGGAACUGAACAAAGAAGUCAACGUCAGUGCAGGCCUGGCUAAGCCUCAGCCAACCUGGUGGAGAUCCUUGGAGCAAAUAUUGUCCAUCAGAGUGUCCCAAGUCCAGCCAAAAGCACCUGGUUUCUAUACUCCAGUUUCUCUUACCUUGCCCCAAGAAGGGAGUGGUCUCUGGAGCAGUGGUUCUUAGCAGCCUAGGCAGAUUCUGAAAAUGCUGAUGAAUAAUGAUGCUGAAGAUGCUACCACAGUGAGGUGGCAUGCUAUUAGUGAAAGGAGAUCUCGGUGUCUCUCACACCUGCACACCCCUUUUGGAUGGAACACAAAGAUAGAACCAGGCCAUAUUCCUGGCCUUGGGAGAACUAUAUCUAGAUCAUUCCAACCAGAUGGCUGUAUCUCCUAUACUUAGAAAUACUAUUUCAGAAUUAUAGAAACAUGAAAAUCAUGUUGAGAAAAGAAUUCAAAAUUGAGUUUAAAAUCAUUUAUUAAUAAUGAAGUACUUAUGGGAAUUAAAAGAAGAAAAGCAGAAAAAAACUAUAUUGAUAUGAAGAUAUUGUUCUGUUACCUUUCUAAACAUGGAGGAAAUUACAGAUCAAUAAAACAUACAAAAUAAUCACAAAGGCCCACAGAACUAAAAGGAACAUUAGAAAGUGAUGCAGAGCACCCUCGAACUAUAGGAGAAAACUGGUUUCCUUCCUCCAUCAUGUCAGUUAUAGUCUCACUUGAGGGACCUUUAACCAAGAUAUUUAACUUCUCUUUGCCUGAGCCACUAAUAAUUGACCAGUACACUAUCAUAUAGAAAUUAUGACACCAUGUAUAGGAUUGAAGGGAAGAUCAUUAAAAAAA